GGGGAGGCUGCUGCACAAAUUGGGCUGAAGUACUGCUCUCAUUGUCCCUGUACCUCUCUAGAAUAAACUGCCUUUUGGUAAAAUAAAUCUCAUAGAGAUCAAGAUUCAACAUUCCCAGGGCUGGAAAAU